GGUGCGCUCCUCUCUUUACCCCUCAGAGCCAGGCUGGGGCGCGCUCCGGUCUGGACCGGGCGCUUCUCCUUCCUCGGGGCCGCAUCCGGUCACCCCGCCCUAGGGUUGAGAGGCCAGUAACUGCUAAUCUCCCCCAGCGGCUGGGGACGUGGCGCAACCCUGUCCGGGGAGACUAAACAAGGAGAGGAACAGGCUGUAAACACAUCUCCUGACACGCAGGGAUGUUGCUCUUGGAGAAUGUGAAGACAGUUUGCUUCUUGACAAGCGAGCGAACGGGCGCCCAGAUUUCUGCAGCCUUCCCGAGUCUCCCCCGAGGGAAAGGCGGGCAGAGAAAACGCCAGAUUUGGGAGCCACCAGGGAAGGGUUCUGCUCAGGGAAGUCACCCUCUUGGCCCCACUUUUCUGCCUGGGGCCCCCAUUUGGGGACCGCCGGUGGCUGACCACAGACUCUAAGGGUGGUGCUGGGAUUUGGGGUGGGGCAAACCACUUGAAUAAUAACUAUAAAGAAGAAAGAGGCAAAAUCAACACUUCUCCCCUGCUUUGAAGUGGAAAGGGUGGUUCCUAGAGCUUCUGGCUCCAGCCACAAGGCCAGUUGCCUGCCUCUAUUCCCCGAAUAGAAUGUAACGUCUCCUGUGUUUUAAGCGUGCUUGCAUCAUUCAGCAAAUUACACUCCUUGCUUACCAAA